rnacentral:rRNA from 1 species
CCUACGGGUGGCAGCAGUGAGGAAUAUUGGUCAAUGGCCGGGAGGCUGAACCAGCCAAGUCGCGUGAAGGAAGACGGCUCUACGGGUUGUAAACCUCUUUUGUCAGGGAGUAAGGUGCAGGUCGGGUCCUUCUUUGAGAGUACCUUAAGAAUAAGCAUCGGCUAACUCCGUGCCAGCAGCCGCGGUAAUACGGAGGAUGCGAGCGUUAUCCGGAUUUAUUGGGUUUAAAGGGUGCGCAGGUUGGUGGUUAAGUCAGCGGUAAAAGUGGGGGGCUCAACCCGGGAUGUGCCUUUGAAACUGGGAGACUUGAGUGCGUGAAGGGUAGGCGGAAUGCGUGGUGUAGCGGUGAAAUGCAUAGAUAUCACGCAGAACUCCGAUCGCGAAGGCAGCUUAC